AGUCGUAACAAGGUUUCCGUAGGUGAACCUGCGGAAGGAUCAUUACCUAGAGUUGUAGGCUUUGCCUGCUAUCUCUUACCCAUGUCUUUUGAGUACCUUCGUUUCCUCGGCGGGUUCGCCCGCCGAUUGGACAAUUUAAACCAUUUGCAGUUGCAAUCAGCGUCUGAAAAAACAUAAUAGUUACAACUUUCAACAACGGAUCUCUUGGUUCUGGCAUCGAUGAAGAACGCAGCGAAAUGCGAUAAGUAGUGUGAAUUGCAGAAUUCAGUGAAUCAUCGAAUCUUUGAACGCACANUGCGCCCCUUGGUAUUCCAUGGGGCAUGCCUGUUCGAGCGUCAUUUGUACCUUCAAGCUCUGCUUGGUGUUGGGUGUUUGUCUCGCCUCUGCGUGUAGACUCGCCUCAAAACAAUUGGCAGCCGGCGUAUUGAUUUCGGAGCGCAGUACAUCUCGCGCUUUGCACUCAGAACGACGACGUCCAAAAGUACAUUUUUACACUCUGACCUCGGAUCAG
rnacentral:rRNA from 1 species